UACGGAGGGUGCAAGCGUUAUCCGGAUUCACUGGGUUUAAAGGGUGCGUAGGCGGCCAGGUAGGUCCGCUGUGAAAACUCGAGGCUCAACCUCGAGAUGUCGGCGGAAACCAUCUGGCUAGAGUCCGGAAGAGGAGAGUGGAAUUCCUGGUGUAGCGGUGAAAUGCGCAGAUAUCAGGAAGAACACCCGUGGCGAAGGCGGCUCUCUGGGACGGUACUGACGCUGAGACGCGAAAGCGUGGGGAGCGAACAGG
rnacentral:rRNA from 1 species